UACGUAGGGUGCGAGCGUUGUCCGGAAUUAUUGGGCGUAAAGGGCUCGUAGGCGGUUUGUCGCGUCGGGAGUGAAAACCUUGGGCUUAACUCAGGGCUUGCUUUCGAUACGGGCAGACUAGAGGUAUGCAGGGGAGAACGGAAUUCCUGGUGUAGCGGUGAAAUGCGCAGAUAUCAGGAGGAAUACCGGUGGCGAAAGCGACUCUCUGGACGGCAACUGACGCUGAGGCACGAAAGCGUGGGGAGCAAACAGG
rnacentral:rRNA from 1 species